rnacentral:rRNA from 1 species
UACGUAGGGGGCAAGCGUUGUCCGGAAUUAUUGGGCGUAAAGAGCGUGUAGGCGGCCCGAUAAGUCCGCUGUGAAAGUCCAGGGCUCAACCCUGGGAUGCCGGUGGAUACUGUCGGGCUCGAGUCCGGAAGAGGAGUGUGGAAUUCCUGGUGUAGCGGUGAAAUGCGCAGAUAUCAGGAAGAACACCGGUGGCGAAGGCGGCUCUCUGGGACGGUACUGACGCUGAGGCGCGAAAGCGUGGGGAGCGAACAGG